rnacentral:lncRNA from 1 species
ACUCUCCUCGUCAUCUUCACUUAGCAGCUGUCCGUCGUAUAAUUCGCUACUUGAAAGAUACCUCUCACCGGGGUUUGUUCUUUCCUAUUGGGACACCUCCUACAUUGAUUGCUUACAGUGAUGCUGAUUGGGUCGGGUGUCCUGAAACUCGACGCUCUGUCACCAAUUGGUGCAUGUUUCUUGGUUCUUCGUUGAUUUCAUGGAAAAGUAAGAAGCAAUCAAGAGUCUCUAAAUCCUCUACUGAAUCCGAGUAUCGUUCGCCUUCCUUCUACGGUUAUUGAUCUUGACUCUCCUUUUUAUCGUAUUUUUAAAACUCACCCUGACUAUAGUGUUUUACAUACUUUUGGAUGUGUAUGUUUUGUUCACCUACCUCCGUUUGAAAGGCAUAAGCUUGGAGCACAAUCUGUUCAAUGUGCAUUUAUGAGGUAUAGUCAAUCUCAUAAGGGUUUUGUGUGUUAUGAUGUUUCUAACCAUCGUUUCUGCAUUUCUAGGAAUGUGACAUUUUUUUAUAAUCAAUUUAUGUUUUCUUGCCUUACUCCUUCCAUGAAUGAUUUUGUUAUGCUUCCAAACUUUGCUAUUAUGUAUCAAUCUAUAAAACGUUUUAAACUAGACAAUGUAUAUGUUAGAAAAUACAAACAGCAGGUUCCCAUCCCUCUUUCUGACACUGAUCCGCCACCUGAUCCUGUAGUCGCUGCACCAUGACGUUCUAGUAUAGCGUCUCGAGCACCUGAUAGAUAUUCACCAGACAGGUAUAAUUCAUCACAUACUUUUCUAUCUGCCUCUCUCUCUCUAGCAUCUCAAUUCCUACUUGCUACUCAUAGGCUGUUAAAGAUGCGCGAUGGAUAAAAGCAAUGAAUGAGGAACUUCAGGCUCUCCAAGACAAUUUCACAUGGGAUAUUGUCACUUGUCCUCUUCAUAUCAAACCCAUAGGCUGCAAAUGGGUGUAUUCUGUGAAAAUGAAUUAUGAUGGUUCCCUCAACCGUUACAAGGAUCGAUUGGUUGCCUUAGGAAACAAGUAGGAAUGUGGCAUUGAUUAUGACGAGACAUUUGCACCCGUUGCCAAAAUGACAACUGUUCAAACUGUGCUCUCUAUAGCUGCUUCUAAUGGGUGGAUUCUUUAUCAGAUGGAUGUGAAGAAUGCAUUUCUUCAAGGUGAUAUGAUUGAAGAUAUUUAUAUGACUCCUCCUCAAGGCUUAUUCUCUUCAUCUAAGGGUGUGUGCAAACUCAAACGCUCCUUGUAUGGUUUGAAACAGGCUCCUAGAGCAUGAUAUGAGAAGUUUUGUUCCACUUUACUUGGGUUCUCUUUUACUCAAAGCCAAUAUGACUCCUUUUUGUUCAUUCACCGCACCUCUACAGACAUUGCUCUUCUUCUUCUUUAUGUUGAUGAUAUGGUUAUUACUGGUUCUGAUCUGGCAUCCAUCCAAGAACUUAAACAACAAUUGCAAGCCUCAUUUCAUAUGAAAGACCUAGGUAAUUUGCAUUAUUUUCUUGGCCUUGAGGUUCAUUACACCUCCAUGGGUAUAUUUCUCCAUCAGCAUAAGUAUGCCAUAGACUUGAUUUCUAUGGCUGGGCCCCCCUCCACUAAUGGUUUGUUCUUUCCUAUUGGGACACCUCCUACAUUGAUUGCUUACAGUGAUGCUGAUUGGGUCGGGUGUCCUGAAACUCGACGCUCUGUCACCAAUUGGUGCAUGUUUCUUGGUUCUUCGUUGAUUUCAUGGAAAAGUAAGAAGCAAUCAAGAGUCUCUAAAUCCUCUACUGAAUCCGAGUAUCGUGCCAUGUCUACUGCUUGUUCUGAAAUAAUUUGGCUUCGUGGUCUUUUGUCUGAACUUGGGUUUCCUCAAACAGAGCCAACAUCUCUCUAUGUUGACAAUACAAGUGUCAUUCAAAUUGUUGCCAAUCCUGUUUUUCACGAGCGCACAAAGCACAUUGAAGUAGAUUGUCAUUCUAUUAGGGAGGCCUAUGAUAAUCAUGUUAUUUCACUUCCUCAUGUCAACGCUCAAUUGCAGAUUGCAUAUAUUCUUACUAAAGUUGUUCCUCGUCCGCGCCAUCAGUUUCUUGUUAACAAAUUGAUGCUACUUGACCAACCGCAUCAAUUUGAAGGGGGAUGUGAAUCAGGAAUUGAUUAAUCUCAUUAGUUAUAUUUAUCAAUUUGUCUCUAGAAUAAGUUACACAAAUCAGAAAUUGAUUUGUUCUCAUUAAUUGUAAUUAUUUGUUGUAAUUAUAUGUAUAAACUAUAAUCUCUAUUUAUACAAGGAAUAACAAUGAGAUGAAGCCAUUUUUACUGACAGAUGGUAUGCAAGUUGAAACCAUUUGUAGUAUGCUUAUGCUACUUGUUUUGCCAUAACUUCAUAUUACAUUGGCAUUUACAUAUAAAAUGCUUAAGUGAGUUUUGUUAUUGCAGAACAAAGUCAGUUAUAGUUUCUUUUCGAACCAUAUAUUAAAUGAAUGGAAGUUAUAUUCUCCAAGAUGCCCUUAUUCUGCAAAUAUUUGGAUUUUACAUGCAUACCCGAUUGGAAUAUAUUUUGUCAAAUAUGUUAGUAACUGUUAUUUUUGUGCCUUUGUGAAGCUG